rnacentral:tRNA from 1 species
GCGGAGCUGGUCCUCCGGCCGACCGGCGGGACGCUCGUCGGCUCCCUGAUAAGGAAGAGGUCCCAGGUUCGAGUCCUGGAUCGCC